rnacentral:lncRNA from 1 species
AAAAAAGGAAAAAAAAUCAAACAACUCACAAUAAAACUUCAAUCAGCAAACACAUAAAAUUCAAUUCUUUUAUCAAUCAAAAUCAACAACAACAAAAAAAAAAUCAAAUAACUCUCACAACUCUUUUUGUUAUUCCAAUUAUAAAGUGUGAAAUCAUGCAUUACAUGAGCUACGAAGCUAAUGGUUGAGUUAGGCAAAUUGGUGACUUGUUUUUUUUUAUUGGGUAUGGGUCAUUGUGUAUUUCAUCAUUGGUGUCUUGUUUUUGUUUCAAAAACACUCUCAUGAUGCACUUCCUCUCCUGUUUGAGCUUACAACUUACAGAACAAAGCAGAGGGCCUAACAUAUCAAAUACCAUAGAAAAUGAGAACAUAUGAAUGUAACAUAACACAAAGAAACAAAUAUGAUGAGUGUAAUAAAUGUUAUAUGUACUUUAGCAUCAAGCAUGAACACAUUUCAAAUGGUGGAGCUUGAAGUCAUGGGUCACUUUUUGGCAAAAAAAAAAUGAGAGUAAUCUACGAAUAUUGCAAAUUCAUUUGCAGAGGACCCAACAUAAACAAGAAAUUGCAAAAUAAAAUUAGGGCCAAUAACAAGUUAUCAACUAUCAAUGGUAUAUGCUUUAGGAAAACAAAAGUGUUGAAAAGCUCCCCAACGCAUGGAAUUGAUAAAUAGAUGAACGAGAUUACCAAAUUAGGGCUUGUAAGAGAUUGUGGCUGUAAAACUGUGCCUCCCACAUCCAGUGACAAUCACCUUCACCGACUGUAUUGGUGACGAUCAUCUUCACCUGCGGCUAUCAACAGAGAACAUUUUUCUUGCUGCUGGAAGGAGGCUGGAGCUCAGGCGAGUCGGCGACGAAGGUGUUGGUCGGAGGUAGGAGGAUCCGAUGCAAAGUUUGGAGGUGGGAGGAGAGUAUGAAUACUUCGGGGGGAAGGAGAAGGAAGAAAUCGCCUCAAAAUGCAAGGAGAAAGAAAGGGCAAAUACAUGAAGGCAAAAGAAAUGACCGAGUCAGCGUUAUUUUUUUGGAGGACCGAAUCAGAUGUGAUGGACUACCAUGGACAUAUCCUAAUCAAACAAACAGAAUCGGACCGAGUCUGAGAAAAAUACUGAUUGGACUGAGUCGGAAGGAAAACAAACAGUCCCUAAACCGAUCACACCCUUAGAUAGCCAUAUUGGAAACUGGGUUGAAGUAGCUGAAGCCCUAAUUUUCCUAAAUCAGCAUGAAAUUUACAUCAGUAACUGGUUAUCUUCAUAUUUCUCUGACACACAAGCAAAAAAAAAUCCCCAAAUAUCAAGCCCUAAAAGGUGGUUAACAUUAUCGGAGGUAAAAACUCAUGUAUCAUAUAUGUUUCUGUUUUUGAUAAUUAAUACUUUCAUGUUGUUAAUCAACGAUUGUGGUGUAUAAUCAUCUACGGUUGGUUAAAGAUUAAUGUUAUACUAGCUUUGAUGAUUGUAGCCAUAUUUCUUUCUCAUCAUGUAGCUUCACAAAUGACACAGUAAAAAGAUUUUAAUCUCCAAAAGCCUUUUGCUUAUCAUU